GGUCCGCUCGGUGUGCGGGGUCCCCUCGGUGUGCGGGGUCCGCUCGGUGUGCCACGUGUCGGGCUGCUGGUGUGCAUCGUGUGCCCCUCGGCAGGAACAUCCCUUCUCUGAGCUCCUUUGCCUCCUGUGAGAGUCACGUCACCGUUUGCUACAACCACUUCCCACUGGGACUGGGCCUGUUCACCUACGAUUAUUUCAUCUCCCGAUCAGAAUUAAGUGUACACGCCUGGAGAAGAUUUAUGACCCAGUGUGAGUCCUUGCUGGAGAGAAAUUCACCCACAGCUCCUCCCUUCGGGUCUGUUCUCUGACUGCCCAAGGUUGAGACAAUUAUUUUUUUUUUUCUUUUAGUGCAAAUUUUCUGUUUCCAUACCUCAUGCACAAAACUGAAGUUCCCCUAAAAAUUACCCUUCGAGCUCGCACAAAGAACUCAUUUAAAGGUCCAUUAAGUGCUUGUAAUGCUAAUUCUGGGUUGGGCAAAGCCAAGAAGAAAACAGGAGGGUGGAGAAGGACAGAUUAGCAUAGGAAGAAGAAA